ACGCACGCUGGCGGCGCGUCUUAACCAUGCCAGUCGCACGGCAGGAAGGGGCUUGCCCCUUCUGAGAGUGGCGGACUGGUGAGUAACACGUGGGUGACAUACCUUUUAGUUGGGGAUAGCUAUUAGAAAUAGUAGGUAAUACCGAAUGUGACCGUACCUGUUAGAGGGGUACGAGGAAAGGAGCUAAGGCUUCGCUAAAAGAAUGGCUCGCGGCCCAUUAUGCUCGUUGGUGAGGUAACGGCCCACCAAGGCGAUGAUGGGUAUCCGGCCUGAGAGGGUGAACGGACACAUUGGGACUGAGAUACGGCCCAGACUUCUACGGGAGGCAGCAGUUAAGAAUAUUCCGCAAUGGACGAAAGUCUGACGGAGCGACGCCGCGUGGAUGAAGAAGGCCGAAAGGUUGUAAAAUCCUUUUAAGCCUGAUGAAUAAGCACAGUAGGGAAUGAUUGUGCGGUGACCGUAGGGCUUGAAUAAGCACCGGCUAAUUACGUG
rnacentral:rRNA from 1 species